rnacentral:lncRNA from 1 species
AUUUUUAACCUUCAGACAAACCUUUCUGUUGUUCCAUAGUGAAUGAAUGUUGGUGAGUUGUCUUGGGGUGGGGGAUAACACAAAUGUCCACAGUCUGGUGAGCUGCCUUCCUUUGGGACAGGGAUGGGACUAGUUCAUUUUGACCUCCUCAGUCUUAUACUACAAUGAUUUCUACUUCUAGGCAGAAGGUUUGGUAAUGCAAGGAUGAUAUUAGGUAAAAGAAGGGGACAUUGGAUUUUUAAAGCAGAUUUGAGUCAUGGUCAAAUGAUACUGUACGACAAAGCACACUUCGUAACAAGGAAUAUUACUAGAGAUAAAGAAGGGCAUUUUGUGAUAAUAAAGGCAUCAGUACAUCCAGAGGACAUUAAAAACCCUUGUCUUGCUUCAAAAGACAUGAUAUUAAAACUGACAAAAGUGAAAGAAGAAAAUGGCAGAUUCACGAUUAAAGUUGGUGAUCUCGGCCGGUUGCAGUGGCUCACGCCUGUAAUCCCAGCACUUUGGGAGGCCGAGGUGGUUGGAUCACUUGAGGUCAGGAGUUUGAGACCAGCCUAACCAAUAUGGUGAAACUCUAUCUCUACUAAAAAUACAAAAAUUAGCUGGGCAUGGUGGCACAUGCCUGUAAUCCCAGGUACUUAGGGAGGCUGAGGCAGGAGAAUCGCUUGAACCUGGGAGGCAGAGUUUGCAGUGAGCCGAGAUGGCGCCAUUGCACUCCAGCCUGGACAAUAAGAAUGAAACUCUGGCCGGGUGCGGUGGCCCAUGCCUGUAAUCCCAGAACUUUGGGAGGCCGAGGCGGGCGGAUCACGAGGUCAGGAGAUCGAGACCAUCCUGGCAAACACGGUGAAACCCCGUCUCUACUAAAAAUACAAAAAAAAAAAUUAGCUGGGCCUGUUGGUGGGUGCCUGUAGUCCCAGCUAACUCGGGAGGCUGAGGCAGGAGAAUGGCAUGAACCCAGGAGGCGGAGCUUGCAGUGAGCCGAGAUCACGCCACUGCACUCCAGCCUGGGCGACAGAGCGAGACUCUGGGUCUCAAAAAAAAAAGAGUGAAACUCUAUCUCAGAAACAAAAACAAAACAAAACAAAAAACAUGGGAGAUCUCACCACUCCUCUUCUGUGGUUAGAACAAAGGAGGAACACACGCAGAAGGAGGGAUAGGGCCUUACAACUCUCCCUGCCAGCCUGGCCUCAUGCAUGUUCAUUAAACCCCCCAGCAACUGCAGGGUGCACAUUCUUUUCAAAUGAAUAUGGAAUAUUCCUCAAGAUAGACCAUAUGCUGGCCCAUCAGACAGGUCUUGAUAAAUUCAAAGGGAUUGAAAUAAUACUGGAUAUGUUCUCAGUGAAAUUUAAGUGGAAAUCAACAACAAAAGAUAGCUAGAAAAUUCUCAAUUAUUUGGAAAUUAAACAGUACACUUCUAAAUAAACCCUGGGUCAAAGAAAUUAAAAAGAAAAUGAGAAAAUAUUUUAAACUGAAUUAUAAUGAAAACAUAGCAUGUCAGUAUUUGUGGGAUAUACAUAAAGCAGUAUCUAGAAACUUACGGCUUUGUAGCUUAAAUGUUUAUAUUCCAUAAGAAGAAACAUUACACAAAAUCCCUAUCAAAACAUUGGCAAAAAUUAAAUCCACUAACAUAUGUAAAAGGAUAAUAUAUUAUGGUCAAGUGGCAUUUAUCCCUGGAAUGCAAGGCUGGUUUAUAUUUGAAAAAAUCAGUUCAUAUAAUUCUUCAUAUUAACAGAAUGAAGGUGAAAAACCGUAUGAUUAUCUCAGGGACCACAGGAAAAAGCAUUUGACAAGAUCCAAUGUGAUAAAAAAAAAUCUCAGCAAACUAGGACUAGAGGGGAUCUUCCUCAGCCAGAUAAAGGCAUGUAUGAAAAACCCUCAGCCAGCCAGGCGCGGUGGCUCAUGCCUGUAAUCCCAACACUUUGGGAGGCCAGGGCAGGUGGAUCACCUGAGGUCGGGAGUUCGAGACCAGCCUGACUAACACGGAGAAACCCCGUCUCUACUAAAAUACAGAAUUAGCCAGGGGUGGUGGCACAUGCCUGUAAUCCCAGCUACUCAGGAAACUGAGGCAGGAGAAUCGCUUGAACCCAGGAGGUGGAGGUUGCAGUGAGCCGAGAUCACGCCACUGCACUCCAGCCUGGGCAACAAGAGCAAAACUCUGUCUCAAUAAAAAAAAAGGAAAACCCACAGCCAACAUUAUCACUAGUGGUAACAGGGAAAAUGUCCCCUUUGACCCCCACCCCAAGUACAGAACAUGCAAGGACGCCUGUUCUCACUGCAUGUCUUCUGUGUUGUACUGAAGCUCCUAGCUGGUGCAGUGAGGCAAGAC